rnacentral:rRNA from 1 species
UACGUAGGGUGCAAGCGUUGUCCGGAAUUAUUGGGCGUAAAGAGCUCGUAGGCGGUUUGUCACGUCUGCUGUGAAAACCCGAGGCUCAACCUCGGGCCUGCAGUGGGUACGGGCAGACUAGAGUGCGGUAGGGGAGAAUGGAAUUCCUGGUGUAGCGGUGGAAUGCGCAGAUAUCAGGAGGAACACCAAUGGCGAAGGCAGUUCUCUGGGCCGUAACUGACGCUGAGGAGCGAAAGCGUGGGGAGCGAACAGG